rnacentral:rRNA from 1 species
GAUGAACGCUGGCGGCGUGCUUAACACAUGCAAGUCGAACGGAAAGGCCCAAGCUUGCUUGGGUACUCGAGUGGCGAACGGGUGAGUAACACGUGGGUGAUCUGCCCUGCACUUCGGGAUAAGCCUGGGAAACUGGGUCUAAUACCGGAUAGGACCACUUCUUGGAUGUUGUGGGGGAAAGUUUUUGCGGUGUGGGGUGGGCUCGCGGCCUAUCAGCUUGUUGGUGGGGUAAUGGCCUACCAAGGCGUCGACGGGUAGCCGGCCUGGGAGGGUGUACGGCCACAUUGGGACUGGGGUACGGCCCAGACUCCUACGGGGGGCAACAGGGGGGAAUAUUUCACAAUGGGCGCGAGCCUGAUGCAGCGAAGCCGCGUGGGGGAUGACGGCCUUCGGGGUGGAAACUCCUUUCGCUAGGGACGAAGCGGUUUGUGACGGUACCUGGUGAAGAAGCACCGGCUAACUACGUG